AUGAACUGUAUGAGACAAAAAGGCUUCCGGGGAUUUUCCUUUGCAUGUGGUUUGCCUGGAAAUGCUCUGAAACACAACCUUCCUGGAGAUGGAAAUUCCCCAAAGGGAAGAAAGUUGGCCAAGACCCUACCAGGCUACAAAUCCUCACUCUACAUUCUUUCUUUUCUGAAGCCCAGUCUCAACUGUAUGACUGUUUCUGCAGCUUCAAUUGGCAUAUACCUACCUCAGUCUAGUUCAUCCUUGGCGUAUGAUAAUUACUUUGUGUACCUUGGUUGUAUUGAAAUUCUAGGCUAAUGGCAGGUUUGGUGGUUUAGAGAGGUUCCUACCUCCCACCCCACAGACGUUGAUGUCACCACUAGGCAGGGAGGGAGGAAGGGAAUUGAUUAGCAAUUAGCUUUUUCAUAUAAUUUAUGUUUUUAUGUAAAGAAAUAAGAAGGCUUGAAACAGACAGUCUGAGUGUGGUGUUUCUCCACCCUUGCAGGAGAUGAGAGGGCACACCAAGAUCAUAUUGAAUAAGAGAGGUGAAGCCUUUCUCUCUGCCUAGAAAUGGAAAGGAGUCAAUUAAGUCUUACUUCUUCAAUCCAAGUCCCUCCUCUAGUCUUACUAAGUAAGAGAUUUCUCUACUUUUUGCAACCGAAAGUGGUUAUGGCCAAAUUGUGACUGGCAGAAAGAAUUAGGGUAGAGGGGAGGAGACUGGUGCUAAGAAUGAGAUAAAAGGAAAAGACCCCAGCAGAAGAUGAGAUUUGAGCUGAUUUUUGAAGGAAACCAGGAGGCAAAGAUCCAGGUAUGGAAGACCUGUGGAGAGGCAUGGAGUCUGAGGUAAGUAUCCUGUUGGAAGAAUAGCAAGAUCAAUUUUUGGUGAACUGGAGUCAUUGCUCACUUAUAGUAGUUGCUGGAGCAGGGAAAGAAAGUCUCACACAAUUUCAGAAUUAAGACUUCUAUUUCCUGGGUCUGGACUUGACCAUAGGGUUGGCCAAAACAACUUUAUAGAGAAGUAUGUACCUUAGGCUCUGUCUGCCUAGAAUCCCAUGACCCUUUCCCCAACUUAAUGGUAUCCCUUCUUUCUUUCCUACUUAGGAGCCCUGUGAUUCUUUUAUCUAGGAUAUGCCACUGGGACUUUUGGAAUGCCAAGAGUCAGAGUACGUGUUUUCCCUCUUUCUAAGAACACUUGAAAGUCUCUUCCUAUGCUUUUGGAGACAGCUUUGGAUUGCUUUUAGAGGAAGGAAAGAAGGAAUGGGCAUAAGAAAGAAGAUGAACCAGUGAUAGGGAAAUUGUGUUUGGUGAAUGAGAGCUGAGUCAUAAUUUCCUGGCCUUACUUUCAUAUGUGCCUACUAGGUUUUUAUUUUGAUGAAUUCAUUUGUUUCCAUGGACGUUUUUGUUUAUUUUGCUUGCUUUAUAGAACUAUUAAAUAUCAAAGCUGAAAAAGAACUUGAGUAGCCAUCUAAUUUCACUUCUAAUUUUACAUAUUAGAGGAUUACAACAGGAAAGCAUUUUAGAAAAGGUCACAGAGCUAGUAAAUAUUAGAGCAGGGACAGGAACCCAGUGAUGUCCAUCCCCAAUGUUAUCUCCUAUUCAUUAUCUUUUUUUUUUUUAUUCUCUGCUAUAAACAGAGUUCCCAUUAUGAUUCCUUGUUUGAUCUGUGUAAGGAUGAUAUUAGAAAAUAAGUAUUCUUUUAUUAGUUCAGGGAUAAGAAGUAAAGUGGCUGCUUGAGAAAAGAACUGGAGUUUGAAGCAGAACUGAGAGAGCGUGUUAAUUUCAGCUGCUGACAGUUAUAACCGUUUUUCUUGUCAAUUACUCUCUCUGGCAGUUGGCAGACACACACUCUCAGAGACUCUUUCUCAAGGCUGGAGGAGGUAACAUCUUUGCCUCUCUCUCUGCCUGAGGGAAAGAUCUGAAGGAGUUCAGUGUUUUCCUUUCCCAAAUUGGGAAACAUUAGAGACUAUUGUGGUUUUAUAGAUUGCUUUAUAUCUGAGAAGACCAAAGAAAAACUUGGUCUUUGGUUUGGACUCUUAGUCUGUUAAGACUCAGAGUCUUAACUUGAUUCUUGUUGAGACUCAACCAGCUAGCCUUUGUUAUUCAUAAUUUGAAGGUGAAGUUAAGAUUUAUAAGGAUAUUAGUGGUAGUUUUUAUUUAGAUAGCAUAAAUUUGGGUUAGUCAGAUCAGGGAGGAUUAGUGUAGUCUGUGGAAUACAGGAGAAGCGGUUCCUUGUGGAACCUGGGAGUUUAUUUGAGUGGAUUUAGAAACCUUUAGAAUUAGAAAUCCUUCUUUAUCCUUAUAUAUUUCAAUAAAUACUUUAUUUUUAUAAUAAGAGUCUCUUUA
ensembl:lncRNA